rnacentral:rRNA from 1 species
UUAAAAAGCUCGUAGUUGGAUUUCUGUGGGGACGAGCGGCCGGCCGCUACUAGCGGUUCGAGCUAGCGCUUUCCCUACAUCCUGCCGCGAACCGUGCUACCAUUAGUUUGGUGGCGCCGGGAUCGCUCGUUUACUUGAGAAAAUAGAGUGUUCAAAGCAGCCACACGCCUUGAAUAAGUAGCAUGGAAUAAUAACUAAGACUUCGGUUCUAU